CCGAAUGGCCCGAUGGGCCUUCGAACCCUCAAACCCGUGGAAGAGACAUGUGCCUCGGCGUCCCCAGAUGGGGGCGUCGCCCAAAUGAACCCAUCUCUGUGUCUGAACAUGAAAUUUGAAGAUA
rnacentral:misc_RNA from 1 species